rnacentral:RNase_P_RNA from 1 species
AUGCACUGGCGAGUGGUCGCUUUUAUAUAAAAGAGGAAAGUCCGGGCUUCAUAGAGCGGGAUGCAAGAUAACGUCUUGGUAGAGUAAUCUAACGAAUAGUGCAACAGAAAAUAUACAGCCGAAAGGUAAUGGUGAAAAGGUGGUGUAAGAGACUACCGGGCAGCUAGUGAUAGGUGUCGCAUUGCAAACUCCAUCCGAAGCAAGUAGAAUUUGGCUUAUAGGGUUGCUCGCCCUAGCCAUGGUAUACGCUUGAGGCUCAUGGUGACAUGAGUCCCAGAUAGAUGACCACAUAGACAGAACCCGGCUUAUAGCUGGUGCAUUUUU